rnacentral:rRNA from 1 species
AGGGUUUGAUUAUGGCUCAGGAUGAACGCUAGCGACAGGCUUAACACAUGCAAGUCGAGGGGCAGCGGGGGUAGCAAUACCCGCCGGCGACCGGCGCACGGGUGAGUAACGCGUAUGCAACUUACCUAUCAGAGGGGGAUAACCCGGCGAAAGUCGGACUAAUACCGCAUGAAGCAGGGAUCCCGCAUGGGAAUAUUUGCUAAAGAUUCAUCGCUGAUAGAUAGGCAUGCGUUCCAUUAGGCAGUUGGCGGGGUAACGGCCCACCAAACCGACGAUGGAUAGGGGUUCUGAGAGGAAGGUCCCCCACAUUGGUACUGAGACACGGACCAA